rnacentral:tRNA from 1 species
AAAAAGAUAAGCUAAACUGUAAGCUUUUGGGUUCAUACCCCAACUAUGAAAGUAAUUUCUCUUUUUA